GUGCUCACUUCAUCAGCAUAUAUACUAAAAUUGGAACAAUACUGAGAAGAUAAGCAUGGCCCCUGUGCAAGGAUGGCAUGAAAAUUCAUGACGUUUUCCAUAUUUUU